AACGAGCGCUGGCGGCAUGCCUAACACAUGCAAGUCGAACGAGACCUUCGGGUCUAGUGGCGCACGGGUGCGUAACGCGUGGGAACCUGCCCUUAGGUUCGGAAUAACUCCCCGAAAGGGGUGCUAAUACCGGAUAAUGUCUUCGGACCAAAGAUUUAUCGCCUUUGGAUGGGCCCGCGUUGGAUUAGCUAGUUGGUAGGGUAAAAGCCUACCAAGGCGAGGAUCCAUAGCUGGUCUGAGAGGAUGAUCAGCCACACUGGGACUGAGACACGGCCCAGACUCCUACGGGAGGCAGCAGUGGGGAAUAUUGGAAAAUGGGCGAAAGCAUGAUCCAGCAAUGCCGCGUGAGUGAUGAAGGCCUUAGGGUUGUAAAGCUCUUUUAACCGGGAUGAUAAUGACAGUACCGGGAGAAUAAGCUCCGGCUAACUCCGUG
rnacentral:rRNA from 1 species